AUACGGAGGGUGCAAGCGUUAUUCGGAAUCACUGGGCGUAAAGGACGCGUAGGCGGGUUGGCAAGUCAGAUGUGAAAUCCUACAGCUUAACUGUAGAACUGCAUUUGAAACUGCUAACCUAGAGUAUGGGAGGGGGAGAUGGAAUUAGUGGUGUAGGGGUAAAAUCCGUAGAUAUCACUAGGAAUAUCGAAAGCGAAGGCGAUCUCCUGGAACAUAACUGACGCUAAGGCGUGAAAGCGUGGGGAGCAAACAGGAUUAGAUACCCUAGUAGUCC
rnacentral:rRNA from 1 species